AUCACCCAGGGAUCUUGUUAAAAUGUAGAUUCUAAUUCAGUGAGUCCAGGGUGGGCCUGAGAUUCUGAAUUUCUAGCAAACUCUCAAGUGAUGCUGC
rnacentral:pre_miRNA from 1 species